rnacentral:rRNA from 1 species
UACGGAGGGUGCGAGCGUUGUCCGGAAUCAUUGGGCGUAAAGGGCGCGUAGGUGGCCCGGUCAGUUCGUGGUGAAAGCGCGGGGCUCAACCCUGCGUCGGCCAUGAAUACUGCCGCGGCUGGAGCACUGUAGAGGCAGGCGGAAUUCCCGGUGUAGCGGUGAAAUGCGUAGAGAUCGGGAGGAACACCGGCGGCGAAGGCAGCUCACUGGGACGGUACUGACGCUGAGGCGCGAAAGCGUGGGGAGCAAACAGG